rnacentral:misc_RNA from 1 species
GAUGAAGAACGCAGCGAAAUGCGAUACUUGGUGCGAAUUGCAGAAUCCCGUGAACCAUCGAGUCUUUGAACGCAAGUUGCGCCUCAAGCCAUUAGGUUGAGGGCACGUCUGCCUGGGCGUCACAUAUCGUUGCCUGAUGCCAGUUUCCUCGUGAUGGGUGACUGUGCAGGGCGAAUGAUGGCUUCCCGUGAGCAUUGUUGCCUCAUGGUUGGUUGAAAAUUGAGUCCUUGGUAGGGAGCGCCGUGAUAGAUGGUGGUUGAGUGACGAACGAGACCCAAUCAUGUGAGACCCCUACCGAAUUUGGCCUUCAUGACCCACAUGCGUCUUUGGAACGCUCAUGACGAGACCUCAGGUCAGGCGGGGCUACCCGCUGAGUUUAAGCAUAUCAAUAAGCGGAGGA